rnacentral:rRNA from 1 species
UACGAAGGGGGCUAGCGUUGCUCGGAAUCACUGGGCGUAAAGCGCACGUAGGCGGGUCGUUAAGUCGGGGGUGAAAUCCUGGAGCUCAACUCCAGAACUGCCUUCGAUACUGGCGACCUUGAGUCCGGGAGAGGUGAGUGGAACUCCGAGUGUAGAGGUGAAAUUCGUAGAUAUUCGGAAGAACACCAGUGGCGAAGGCGGCUCACUGGCCCGGUACUGACGCUGAGGUGCGAAAGCGUGGGGAGCGAACCGG